rnacentral:rRNA from 1 species
GACGAACGCUGGCGGCGUGCCUAAUACAUGCAAGUCGAACGCACUCUCGUUUAGAUUGAAGGAGCUUGCUCCUGAUUGAUAAACAUUUGAGUGAGUGGCGGACGGGUGAGUAACACGUGGGUAACCUGCCCUAAAGUGGGGGAUAACAUUUGGAAACAGAUGCUAAUACCGCAUAAAACCUAACACCGCAUGGUGUAGGGUUGAAAGAUGGUUUCGGCUAUCACUUUAGGAUGGACCCGCGGUGCAUUAGUUAGUUGGUGAGGUAAAGGCUCACCAAGACCGUGAUGCAUAGCCGACCUGAGAGGGUAAUCGGCCACACUGGGACUGAGACACGGCCCAGACUCCUACGGGAGGCAGCAGUAGGGAAUCUUCCACAAUGGACGAAAGUCUGAUGAGCAACGCCGCGUGAGUGAAGAAGGUUCGGAUCGUAAACUCUGUU